CGGAAGGCGGAAGAGCCGGGUCUGGAUACCACAUUGGGUGGGUCGGGGGCGGGGAAUGUGUUAACCAAUGAGCUGAAGGGAAAGUGAGGGGCGGGAGUAACCACAGUUGCUAUGCGCUACCCUAGUGGGAGGUGAUUUAAGAGAUGGGGUGGAGGGUGGUCCAGCUUCCCUUCACGUCACGGUUUCGAGCCCGCGGAAGUUAAGCAACCGAGAGGCGGGCCUAGGACAGGAAGCAGGAAGGAGGGCGCAGGAAGUAGGGCCCGCAGCCAGGCGUACUGUCUGUCCGUGGGUCUGUGGGUCCUGAGGGCAGUAUGGAGAAGCUGCGGCUCCUCAGUCUCCGCUACCAGGAGUACGUGACUCGCCACCCAGCCGCCACGGCCCAGCUGGAGACGGCAGUGCGGGGCCUCAGUUACCUCCUGGCAGGUCGCUUCGCGGACUCGCACGAGCUGUCAGAGUUGGUGUACUCUGCCUCCAACCUGCUCGUGCUGCUCAAUGACGGCAUCCUAAGGAAGGAGCUGCGAAAAAAGCUGCCUGUGUCGCUGUCCCAGCAGAAGCUGCUGACAUGGCUGAGUGUGCUGGAGUGUGUGGAGGUGUUCAUGGAGAUGGGGGCUGCCAAGGUGUGGGGCGAAGUGGGCCGUUGGCUCGUCAUCGCCCUCAUCCAGCUGGCCAAGGCUGUCCUGCGGAUGUUCCUGCUCAUCUGGUUCAAGGGUGGCCUCCAGACCUCGCCCCCCAUCGUCCCGCUGGACAGGGAGACCCAGGCCCAGCCCCUGGAUGGUGACAACAGCGCUGGCAGCCGGGAGCAGUCAUACGUGGGAAAGCGGUCUAACAGAGUGGUGCGAACCCUCCAAAAUACCCCAUCCCUGCAUUCAAGGCACUGGGGAGCCCCCCAGCAGCGGGAGGGACGGAAGCAUCAGCACCUGGAGGAGCUGAGUGUCACCCCUACCCCGCUGGGACUGCAGGAGACCAUCGCCGAGUCCUUGCAUAUUGCUCGGCCCCUGCUGCACUUGCUUAGCCUGGGCCUCUGGGGUCAGAGGUCGUGGGCACCCUGGCUCCUGUCUGGCAUUGUGGAUGUGACCAGCCUGAGUCUCCUGAGCGACAGGAAGAGCCUGAAUCGGAGGGAGCAGCUGGAGUUGCGACGGCGGACCAUCCUGCUGCUCUACUACCUGCUGCGCUCCCCGUUCUACGACCGCUUCUCUGAAGCCAGAAUCCUCUUCCUGCUGCAGCUGCUGGCCAACCACGUCCCAGGCAUUGGCCUGGUAGCAAGGCCACUCAUGGAUUACUUGCCCACCUGGCAGAAAAUUUACUUCUACAGUUGGGGUUGACUGAUGGCCUGGGGGUGGGGUGCGGGGAGGGGCGAGGCAGCAGGCCCCACUGCUGUGGGCAGAGGGUGUCAGGCCCUUCAGUUCCCUGCGGCCCCUCUCAAUAAAACUGACUGUGGCAGUUUCCAUGCCUGUGACCUCUCCAUGCUCACCGCCAGGGUGUCUGGCACUCCUCCCCCGCCAGGAGUGGCUCACAGCCCUGGUCGCCAGAGCUCCCCUGCCCCUGCCACCUCUGAUGACACCCUCUGGCGAUGGAGCCCCUGCAGGUGCGCCUCGUCACUGGAACCUCCACUGGGACCGGGACCCAGCCUCUCCCCAGCCUCAGAGCUGGGAUGAGGCUCACGGAGCAUGGAGUGCUCCUGCCGUGGCAACUGCGAGAGUCACUGCUGCCUCACCAGUCCCGAGGCUGAACCCAGGCCCAGGCAGCCACUCCACCCAGCUGUGUGCGGCCCCUUCUGCGGGGCCUGGAACUGCCUGCCAGCCUCUCGGAUGGAGCCUGGCCGUCUCCUGCCAGUGUCUAGCCUGGCGGGAGACCAGCGAGCUGUGAGAAGGCGUAGUCUACAGCAGCGCCCACUGGGCCUCACCUCCCAGGCCCCCCAAGGACCUCCCAGUACUGCUGCUGGCGUGGCUGAGAAGCCCACCCAGGGCCUCGGCUGGGGUGUGGAGGUUCGGAACCUUGGGGCAAUGGCAGCUUCGGGUGAGUCCAGCACAGUGGGGCACUUCCCUGCUGCUUCCCCAGACACUCACUGGUCAUGGUGGAGGUGUAAGAAUCCACACAGGGUGCUGGGCCUUGGAAAUAGG